rnacentral:rRNA from 1 species
ACAGGGGAGUAACAGUCAGAAAUAGGCUGCUAAUACCGCAUAAGCGCACAGAGCUGCAUGGCUCAGUGUGAAAAACUCCGGUGGUAUAAGAUGGACCCGCGUUGGAUUAGCUAGUUGGUGGGGUAACGGCCCACCAAGGCGACGAUCCAUAGCCGGCCUGAGAGGGUGAACGGCCACAUUGGGACUGAGACACGGCCCAGACUCCUACGGGAGGCAGCAUG